UACGUAGGCAGCGAGCGUUGUUCGGAAUUACUGGGCGUAAAGAGUGUGUAGGCGGGUCUUUAAGUCAGGGGUGAAAUCCUGGAGCUCAACUCCAGAACUGCCUUUGAUACUGAGGAUCUUGAGUUCGGGAGAGGUGAGUGGAACUGCGAGUGUAGAGGUGAAAUUCGUAGAUAUUCGCAAGAACACCAGUGGCGAAGGCGGCUCACUGGCCCGAUACUGACGCUGAGGCACGAAAGCGUGGGGAGCAAACAGG
rnacentral:rRNA from 1 species